rnacentral:rRNA from 1 species
AUGGACGAGGGCUACGCCAGCCUCCCCACCAGCCACCUCCUCGGCUCCGUCCCCGCUGUGGUUGUGGCUCCCGAUGAGAGGAAGCCCGGUGCCCCGGCCGAAGUUGGAAAUGCCGCUGCCACCUCGCGCCUGCAGCAGUUUCCGCCUGCUCCUGCUGCCAACGGAGGAGGUUACCAGCCUCCAGGGAGUCCUCUAGGUGGAGAUGUAGAAACACAGACAAACUGGAAAGGAUACUUCAAUGUUGCCUCUUAUACUCCAUAUUUCAAUGUUGAUACUGAUGUCGUUGUUGACAGACUUAUCAGUUCAGUUUAUCCAAUGGAGGGAUUUUUCAGGAAGAUAGAUGCUAAUCCUGACAUGUAUGGGCCCUUAUGGAUUACCACUACACUGAUAUUCAUGCUGGCUGCAUUCGGAAACUUUGCCACUUAUCUAAUGCAAAGGAAAAGUGAUCUGAACAUAUGGAACUUUGAUGUUAGCUAUUUCAGUUUGGCGGCAUCAGUCAUGUACGGUUAUGCUAUCGUGGUACCUGCUGCAUUCUUUUUCCUGUUUCAGUACUUUGGAUCACGCCCAAGCCUUAUCCGGUUUUGGUGUAUGUGGGGCUAUUCUCUGUUUAUCUUCGUACCAGCAUCUAUACUGCUACUUAUUCCUGUGGAAUUUCUUCGCUGGGUCAUCAUAGCUGGUGCUGGUGGUGCAUCAUCUUGGUUCAUCUUUUUAAACUUGAAGGAAUGCACCGAAGGAGCUGAUAUGAUGGCUUUGAUCGCAAGUGCAUCAGUGCUGCAGUUUGCUCUGGCACUGUUCAUCAAAGUUUUCUUUUUUGCCUGA